rnacentral:rRNA from 1 species
AUUGAACGCUGGCGGCAGGCCUAACACAUGCAAGUCGAGCGGAGCGGCCGACGGGUGAGUAAUGCCUAGGAAUGUGCCUGUUAGUGGGGGAUAACGUCCGGAAACACGCGCUACUACCGCAUGAUAUCAGAUGAACCUACGGCGGAUUAGUUAGUUGGUGGGGUAAAGUCCUACCAAGGCGACGAUCCCUCACUGGUCUGAGAGGAUGAUCAGUCACACGGGAACUGAGACACGGCCCAGACUCCUACGGGAGGCAGCAGUGGGGAAUAUUGGACAAUGGGCUAAAGCCUGAUCCAGCCAUGCCGCGUGUGUGAAGAAGGUCUUCGGAUUGUAAAGCACUUUAAGUUGGGAGGCGUUACCAACAGAAUAAGCACCGGCUAACUUCGUGCCAGCAGCCGCGGUAAUUC